rnacentral:rRNA from 1 species
GAUGAACGCUGGCGGCGUGCCUAAUACAUGCAAGUCGAGCGAACAGAUGAGGAGCUUGCUCUUCUGACGUUAGCGGCGGACGGGUGAGUAACACGUGGAUAACCUACCUAUAAGACUGGGAUAACUUCGGGAAACCGGAGUUAAUACCGGAUAAUAUAUUGAACCGCAUGGUUCAAUAGUGAAAGACGGUUUUGCUGUCACUUAUAGGUGGAUCCGCGCCGCAUUAGCUAGUUGGUAAGGUAACGGCUUACCAAGGCAACGAUGCGUAGCCGACCUGAGAGGGUGAUCGGCCACACUGGAACUGAGACACGGUCCAGACUCCUACGGGAGGCAGCAGUAGGGAAUCUUCCGCAAUGGGCGAAAGCCUGACGGAGCAACGCCGCGUGAGUGAUGAAGGUCUUCGGAUCGUAAAACUCUGUUAUUAGGGAAGAACAAAUGUGUAAGUAACUAUGCACGUCUUGACGGUACCUAAUCAGAAAGCCACGGCUAACUACGUG